rnacentral:rRNA from 1 species
AUAUUGGACAAUGGGCGCAAGCCUGAUCCAGCCAUGCCGCGUGAGUGAUGACGGCCCUAGGGUUGUAAAGCUCUUUUGUCCGGGAAGAUAAUGACUGUACCGCAAGAAUAAGCCCCGGCUAACUUCGUGCCAGCAGCCGCGGUAAUACGAAGGGGGCUAGCGUUGCUCGGAAUCACUGGGCGUAAAGCGCACGUAGGCGGACUCUUAAGUCGGUGGUGAAAUCCUGGAGCUCAACUCCAGAACUGCCUUCGAUACUGGGAGUCUCGAGUUCGGGAGAGGUGAGUGGAACUGCGAGUGUAGAGGUGAAAUUCGUAGAUAUUCGCAAGAACACCAGUGGCGAAGGCGGCUCACUGGCCCGAUACUGACGCUGAGGUGCGAAAGCGUGGGGAGCAAACAGG